GAUAUGGUUUGAAGAAUGAAGAUGAUUCAGACUGGCAGACUGCUCAAGUUGGAGAUUUUAUGGUUCUUAUUAUUACGAUGAAUGAUGCCUUUUGACCCAACAAUGGUCAAAAUCCUAUUCUUGAUCUUGAAGGCACCAAAAGAUUCAAAGCAAAACCUUUGGAACAAACAGAUUUUGGCAGCUCAAGCUUGCCUGCAUCAGAAACAAGUAGACCACAUUUGCUAGAAUUUCAGUUGCAGGAGGAACUUCAUCUUCAUCUGCACUUGGGCCAAAAAAAACAGUUACAGUCGUCUCACGCCAAAGGCAGUCAUCAAAAAAGUGUGGAAAGGGAACAACAUCAACAAUUCAACACAUAUGAUUCCUUAUAAAUACGCUCAACAUCUAUCUAUUUGGGAAAUCAACACAGACUCUUCUUCAGUCUUCACCAGUUCACCCCAAAUAGAAAAAACGAUGAUAUACAAGUUUAUAGAGGCCGGAGUUUUUCAAUGGCGUCGAUGUUUGAAGAGUGAAGAAGAUGCAGAACAGAAUUAGGGUUUGGAGAAUAAACAACAACAACGACAUCUAUGGAUACGGUGCAAGUGAGGAUUGGAGGAGGGCGUUGCUUGUUUCCAUGGCGUAUCUCCUUCAACUCUCAUCUGAUUUGAGGACCAAGUUAUAAGAUCCGGGAGAUGGUUCGAAGAAUGAAUGAAGUUUCAUAACAAAAAAACUUGGUCGGCAUGGCGUACUCACAGUAACAACAUCAAACUGAUUCUAGUCAUUAUGGAGGAGAUACAUGGUUCCCUUUUCAUUCGAUGGAAAAGUCCUCUUCUUGCUAUCCAGCCUAUCAUCAACACUUCUACAGAUCAUAUAUGGUUUGAAUAAUGGAGAAGAUUCACACUGCUCAAGGUUUGUUUCAAUCACUCAUUUAUUACAACUGGAACUCGAGAAGACACCAAAAGAUUCAAAGCAAAACCUUUGGAACCAAAGAGGUUCUUGUCACUGCCUCAUGAGUCAUGCCAACGUUUCCCUUCCGUAGAUUUUGGCAGCAGUUUCAGCUUUGCCUGCAUCAAAAACAACCACAUCUGCUACAAUAUCAGGAAUCUCAUCUUCAAACAAUGGCAAGGGCUAACCAGCAUACAGAGACAUAUUCAGUGUUGAAGCAGAUUUAAAGCUUAACGAUAUGAUUCCUGGUUCUAUGUGCAGAUCAGAGAUGGUCUAAAGAAUGAAGUUUCAUUACUAAAAAACUUGAACAUGAAACUGGUGCUAGUGAUGGAUUCAAUUCGUCUGAUUUGUCCACUUCAAGUUUCCCAUCCAUAGCAUCGUUGAUGAGUUAUAUAUGGUGGUAGUAUCGUUUUGGUGUCUUUGCAAGUGAGGACUAUGUUUUUUUCAUGGCUUUUCUUCAACUCUCACCUGAUUUGACGAGAGCUCGACUAAGAAAGGUAAAAAUCCAACCUGCUCAAGGUUUUGUUUCAGUCAUCAAAACUGGUUUGUUUCAGGUCAACUUCAGUUUAUUCUGAUUUUUGCACGAACGCCAUUAAUUAGAACCCGUUAGCUACAACUCUUUCAUUACGACGCAAGCCUCAGGAAAAAAACAAGUUAUUCUCCUACUGAAUCAAUCACAGUUAAGCUAGCCAUCUUGAUACAGAGAUCAACAACAAGACUGCAUAUGCCAGUAAUCUAAGGGAUGCGAGGUUUGAGCAGAUGGAAAACAAAGAGAAUAGACCUUGCUCAACAGAAAUUUCAGAAUUUCAGAUAUUUGAGAGUAACGGAGAGAUGGGCACCUUUUGGCAUCACCAAAACAUUUAGGGUUCACUGAAUUGGUAAUAUCUACUGUAACCUUUAGUUCGACUGAUAUUUUCUUGAUACCGUUGAUGGUUUUGAUUACAGGUGGGAUGAACAGCAAAAGCUGAGGAGCAUGUUUCUUUUGCCUUAAAAUCCGCUGGCGUGCUUAACAACAACAUUAAAGCUGAUGCUAGUGAUGAUGAUGGGAUGACCCAACAACGACAAUGGAGCCAUCCUCUUUUUCUUGAUGUGUAAGUUAUCUCAAGAUCCUCUCUGCUUUUCUUUAUUUGCAAGGACCAAAUUACAACUGUACUUCUCCCACCCAAUCGAAAAAAUGAAAGAAACAUCAUCCAAAUCCGAUCCUACUUUGUCAAGCUGGCAAAUUCAGAUCGUCGCUUUCGUAUCUUAUGACAUCCCAAUCUAACUGAUACGACAAAUAGUACAUUCUCGGAAACACUUAAACAUACAAGUACGGUACGUAUAUACAACUCAUUUCUAAUCCACAAAAUGUCAUAAUCAUCUCAAACGCUCCAUAAGUUUGUCUUAUAGGUAUCAACUCUCUCUCUCUCGAGAUUCUUCUAAUCUUAAAUUUGACAUUGACUUUAUGUAUAUAUCUUUUUCAUUAUUAGUA